rnacentral:rRNA from 1 species
AUUGAACGCUGGCGGCAGGCUUAACACAUGCAAGUCGAACGGGCGAGGUUGCUUCGGUAACUGAGCUAGCGGCGGACGGGUGAGUAAAGCUUAGGAAUCUGCCUAUUAGUGGGGGACAACAUUCCGAAAGGGAUGCUAAUACCGCAGACGUCCUACGGGAGAAAGCAGGGGAUCACUUGUGACCUUGCGCUAAUAGAUGAGCCUAAGUCGGAUUAGCUAGUUGGUGGGGUAAAGGCCUACCAAGGCGACGAUCUGUAGCGGGUCUGAGAGGAUGAUCCGCCACACUGGGACUGAGACACGGCCCAGACUCCUACGGGAGGCAGCAGUGGGGAAUAUUGGACAAUGGGGGGAACCCUGAUCCAGCCAUGCCGCGUGUGUGAAGAAGGCCUUUUGGUUGUAAAGCACUUUAAGCGAGGAGGAGGCUUACCUGGUUAAUACCUGGGAUAAGUGGACGUUACUCGCAGAAUAAGCACCGGCUAACUCUGUGCCAGCCGCCGCCGUAA